rnacentral:rRNA from 1 species
GACGAAGGUGGCGAGCGUUGUUCGGAAUCACUGGGCAUAAAGCGCACGUAGGCGGCGGCGUAAGUUGGAUGUGAAAUCCCCCGGCCCAACCGGGGAACUGCGUCCAGUACUGCGUUGCUUGAGGAUCCAAGGGGUGCAUGGAAUUCCCGGUGGGGCGGUGAAAUGCGUUGAUAUCGGGAGGAACUCCGGCGGCGAAAGCGGUGCACUGGUGGAUUACUGACGCUGAGGUGCGAAAGCCAGGGGAGCAAACGGG